UAGGGAAUCUUCGGCAAUGGACGAAAGUCUGACCGAGCAACGCCGCGUGAGUGAAGAAGGUUUUCGGAUCGUAAAACUCUGUUGUUAGAGAAGAACAAGGACGUUAGUAACUGAACGUCCCCUGACGGUAUCUAACCAGAAAGCCACGGCUAACUACGUGCCAGCAGCCGCGGUAAUACGUAGGUGGCAAGCGUUGUCCGGAUUUAUUGGGCGUAAAGCGAGCGCAGGCGGUUUCUUAAGUCUGAUGUGAAAGCCCCCGACUCAACCGGGGAGGGUCAUUGGAAACUGGGAGACUUGAGUGCAGAAGAGGAGAGUGGAAUUCCAUGUGUAGCGGUGAAAUGCGUAGAUAUAUGGAGGAACACCAGUGGCGAAGGCGGCUCUCUGGUCUGUAACUGACGCUGAGGCUCGAAAGCGUGGGGAGCAAACAGG
rnacentral:rRNA from 1 species